GGGGCCUUAGCUCAGCUGGGAGAGCGCUUCCAUGGCAUGGAAGAGGUCAUCGGUUCGAUCCCGUUAGGCUCCACCA
rnacentral:tRNA from 140 species